rnacentral:snRNA from 1 species
GUGCUCGCUUCGGCAGCACGUAUACUAAAACUGGAACGAUAUGGAGAAAAUUAGCAUGGCCCCUGCGCAAGGAUGACACAUGCAAAUUUGUGAAGCGUUCCAUAUUUUU